rnacentral:lncRNA from 1 species
AUCUACCAUAGAGGUCUACCCUAGAGGCUCAGUAUGACUUGACCAUGCAUAAACCAAGUUUCAGCAGAGCCUAGUUACAUCUUGGGCUUCUGCAAACUGAGAUUGUCAAUGGCAUGUUCCUGAAGCUCACCCUUAAUUGGAUCCUGAAAAUAUUUAUUAUUGAUCAGAUGCUGUCAGGUUUUUUUUUUUUUUUUUUUUUUUUUAAGGUCCCUAAUUGAUAAACCUUUGGUUGAUUGCUGUGGUUGAAGAAAAAUGUCUACCUUUCCUCAAGUACAAAGUUUGGAAUUACAUUUGGAAAAUGAUUGGAAAAUUGUUGUGAGCCUGAGGGUGUGGCAACACGAGAAAUCAAUAGAAAACAGAAUCUUUGAAGUUGACAGCAUCUCUGAUGAAAUCUUCAAGGUAUCAGCCACCUGCCAUGGUGUGGACGCCUGUCAGCAAGCCACGGCCCUACACAUCCACGCUACAUCUGAGCAUCCUCCAGCCUGCCCGGAAGGCGAUAUUCAGAAUCUCCGUGGAGAACCACUUCAGGGAUUGACACCUUGAAGUAAGAUCCACUUUAAAUACGAGAUGGAGGCCGAAAUUGAAUUGCUGCUGACUGUUGUCCCUUGUUAUGGCCUGUGGAGAUAUGACAAUUGAGGAAGAACUUAGAGAAAUGCCAAGUAGUAGAGCAUGAAGGAGUGGGUGUGACCCACUGCCUUGGAUAUUUUAUGGCUGAUAGCAUUUGGCAAGAAAAAAUCUGCAGCCUCUAUAGUACUCUUGCAAAUAGAUUUCAACAUCAACCAUGCCCCUACCCUCAUCCCUAUUUGAUUUGCCCUGUAAGGUAUAUAUUUGCCAAAAUCUGCUCUUCUAAUUUUCAGUUACUUCACUGGACCCCUUGUAAACACCUAAAUAUUGAAAUAAAUAACACUUGAAAAGUGCUUUGUUUAAUUAA